CGAGGCUCGCCUGAGCGACUGCUUCCACCUGGGCUGGGGCCAGCACAACUGCGGCCACCACGAGGACGCGGGAGCGCUCUGCGCAGGUGAGGCUGACAGCGAAGGCCCAGAGGAGCUGGGACUGCAAGUCCAGCAGGAUGGUUCUGAGACCACGCGGGUGCCCACUCCUCGGCCCAGGGACGGGCAUCUACGUCUGGUCAAUGGAGCCCACCGAUGCGAGGGACGUGUAGAGCUCUACCUAGGGCAACGGUGGGGCACUGUCUGUGAUGAUGCUUGGGACCUGCGGGCAGCCGGUGUCCUGUGCCGCCAGCUGGGCUGUGGCCAGGCCCUCGCAGCCCCUGGCGAGGCUCACUUUGGCCCAGGCCGAGGCCCCAUUCUCCUGGACAAUGUCAAGUGCCGUGGGGAAGAAAGUGCUCUGCUGCUCUGCUCUCACAUCCGCUGGGAUGCCCACAACUGUGACCACAGCGAGGAUGCCAGUGUCCUGUGCCAGCCUUCAUGACCCAGCCCGCUCUGCAGACCACCUCUUCUUCUGGGAGCUGUGACCUGCCCUUCCUCCUCCAGGAAGCCCUCCUCUUGUGAUGACUACAGUUCACUUUGCUCCUCCUUCCCUUGCCUGGGAGAGAGCCUACCUAGACAGUGCAGUCCUGCUUGGGGGAGCCUGGCUGUACCCCCGUCCACUUACUGCGUGACCUCAGCCUGCCAUCGACUGUUGUGAGCCCAAUUCAGUGAAAGCUCCUGUGGUUUUGCUCAGCCAAAACCAAAACGAGGGGAAGAGGAUGAUUCCUAACUCUUCUGUUUGGUGGGGCUCUUUUUAUAGCACCAGACCCUGCCUUCCUUGACCUAGAUCCAGGAGGCUCAGGGGCUCUUUAAAUGGGGUAUCUCCUCUUCCCCCAACCCAUCUUGGGAUCCCCAAGAAGAGGGAAGGCAGGAGGGGCCUACAGCUCCUACCUUGGGCCCUCAGGGGCUGCAGAGGAACCUGGGUCCCUGUCCUGCCCUGCUCCGCGAGGGCCUGGACUAACUCAGAUGGUGCUCGGCUGGACAAGGGGACUGGGGGAGGGGCCAAAGCAGGGACAGUGGCCCCUCCCUGCAGCUGGAACCAGCAUCUCUGAUUUAUGCCGUCUCCACCACAGAGCCUCCACUUUGCAGGAGCAAAGAACCUGGGGGCCUGUAGCCACCGGUUCAUAGGUGCCAAGUCAAUAAAGCAUUGUCCCCCGUCUCUUAUAA
rnacentral:sRNA from 1 species